GAAGCCAUGCAGACUCGGAGCUUUGUGCCCACAAGAACUGUUCUGGCAGGCCUGCCUGGGGCUCCUCCUCCCCUGGCGUCCGAUUGGUCUGGGGGUCCUGCCGUCACCAGGAAAACCGUCCCAGCCAGGUCAGCAAACACCAGUGUGGCUGGUCUAGAGGAUCUCCGGGCCAAGACAUCACAAUACCAAGGCAGCUCCUCGCAGCUGUGGCACCAGGGAGGCGAGUGUACAAACUGCUGUCCAGGGGACAGGCUUCAGACCCGAGCACAGCCAGCACCUCCCACUGCCGCCUCCGCCUGUGACUCCCAUACUGGCUUCAGCCCUCCCACCGGCUCCUUUGGAGACCGAGCUGCAGAGCCUUGGCCCACUGGGUCCCAAGUCCGUCUCCAUGCAGCCUGGCAGGAGGCCUGUGGCCCUCAGCUGGAUGGCAGUGCUUCCGCAGUGAGCACUGGGGACCCCACUGUCCCCCUGGCUGGCUGUGGUGGCAGUGCUGUGCUUUGUCCUCUGCCUUCCCUCCUCUCUGGAGAACCAUUUCUUGAACUUGGCCCCUGCUCCCAGGAACUGGGCUCUCUGUGUGUCCUCCCUCCUCAGCCCUCAUCCCAGCUGAGCAGCCUGACUUACUGGGUGGACCACUCAGGCCACUAAAUGCUGCCACCGUGGGAGCUUCCUGCCCUGGCCGCGUGGGGUCCCAGGAUGUUGACGGCAGUUUGGAUGCAACCUUUGCCUGCCGUGCAGCCUUUCAGACACGAGACGGUGGGCCUGCCCCCCAGGGCCAGCUCUCCAUUCAGUUGUGAAAGCACAUCAGCCCCAAAGCAAGAAGUUCCUGAUGAAAUAUGCGUAAAAAAGAACCUCAAAACUAGCAAAACUUCCACAUUCCUGAGCUCCAGGGAGGAACAGAGAUCAAGAAGGAAGGGAAGAGAAAGGCCAUGUCCGUGGAAAGCAAGUGUGGUCUACAUUUGGGGUAGAUGUUCUCUUUUGUUCUGUCCUCGCUUUCCCGGGGCUUGCUUUUCACGCGG